GGGGGUGUAGCUCAGUGAUACAGCGCGUGCUUAGCAUGCAUGAGGCCCCGGGUUCAAUCCCUGGCACCUCCA